rnacentral:misc_RNA from 1 species
CUUUCCGGGGUAAAAAUUGAAUAAAAGUCGUAACAAGGUUUCCGUAGGUGAACCUGCGGAAGGAUCAUUACAGUAUUCUUUUGCCAGCGCUUAAUUGCGCGGCGAAAAACCUUACACACUAUGUUUUUUUAAUUUGAAACUAUUGCUUUGGUCUGGCUUAGAAAUAGGUUGGGCCAAAGGUUUUAUCAAAACUUCAAUAUUUAUUAUUGAAUUGUUAUUUUUAAUUUUAUGUCAAUUUGUUGAUUAAUAUCAAAAAUCUUCAAAACUUUCAACAACGGAUCUCUUGGUUCUCGCAUCGAUGAAGAACGCAGCGAAAUGCGAUAAGUAAUAUGAAUUGCAGAUUUUCGUGAAUCAUCGAAUCUUUGAACGCACAUUGCGCCCUUUGGUAUUCCAAAGGGCAUGCCUGUUUGAGCGUCAUUUCUCUCUCAAAUCUUCGGAUUUGGUUUUGAGUGAUACUCUUAGUCAGACUAAGCGUUUGCUUGAAAUGUAUUGGCAUGAGUGGUACUAGAUAGUGCUGAACUGUUUUCAAUGUAUUAGGUUUAUCCAACUCAUUGACCAGUAAAGUAUUUGUUUAUUACACAGGCUCGGCCUUACAACAACAAACAAAGUUGACCUCAAAUCAGUAGGACUCCCCAGUU